CCCACCCCUCAGUCCUUUCCCCCUCUUUCUUCUCCAUCGCCUUCACAUUCUCUGGUGAUUUUUUCCCCUUUAAGAAGUUGGGCUGAUAAAAAUAGCCUGCAGGGCCCUGCACUCCAGCCCCCGCCCCCAUCUCCAGAGCCCUCCUUUAAUUCUCUUACUGUUUGCCAAUUUCUCAGUGAUUGUUUUUCCUGUUCUUCUAAAUUAUUUUCGUUUUAACCAGGUGAGGCCCUUAAGCUGCCGAGAACUCGUGACUCAUGGUUCUUAGGAAUGCUUUUCUUAAGAUCAUUUAUUUUGCCUCUUGGGUCAGAGUUCACUUUGUUCCUGCUACCCACGGGAACCUUGCUCAAACAGCUCAUUUUUCCUCUUAAUGUAAAAUCAUGAAAUGAAUAUUAAUUUAUAUGUUUGUCCAGUUAAGGAGCUUAAGCAGUAUUUUAUAAGCAGAGUGCAUUUUGAAGUUUUUCCCAGAACCUUGUAUAUGAAGUGUAUUUUUAGCUUCCAUGGAUGUUAUUGAAAAGAGUUCCCAGCCCUUGAAUAUUUUCUUUCAUAGUUCUGAUAGAACGAGCUGGGCUAAGGAAGGGUAGAGAAGGGGAGGAGAAUAAACAUUUAAGUGCCUUCUCUUGCUAGGAGCUUUCUGUUGAUCAUUUAACUUAACUCACAAAAAUUCUGUGCUGAGAGUAUAAUUGUCCUUAUUUUAUGGAUGAAAGUAUAAUUUCUCCCCUUUAUAUGGCUGAUAAGUGGCUGAAUUCAAUCCCAGCCUCAAACCCUGCCUCAGACCACUGCAUUCCCCUUCUGUGCCGCCUCCAUUCCCGGCAGGACGUGGGAUGGGGAGCCCUGCACUUCUCCAGGAGCUCCUGGCCCUGCCAAGAGAGUUGGUGCCCGGAGGGGGGUGGACAGUUAGGGUCACUGAGGCCUGGUCAUGCUGUGUGGUCCAACUCUCUCUUACAUCUUAAGACAGGGUGGGUGAGUUGGCAAAGCCCCAAGGCAGAAGGAGAAUCAGCAAGUAUUUACAUACCGCUCUGCACCCCUUUCUGGAGUGGCUUCUGGGUUCCUGAGAAGACCAUAAUCUACGUGAGUAAAUGUGAGUCAGCCCCUUUGACAGGUCAGGCAUUAAUGCGGCACUGCUCAGCUGACCCAGUAGAGAAAAGACAUUAAGUAGGUGCUGGACCACCACCCUGCUCGAAGCCACUGUAGUCCUCGAACCUAACUCUGUCCCUGCUUUUGCCGUGUUAUUUCACGGUUGCGAUUUUGUGUCUGUCUCCCACACUCACGUAGAAAUGCCCUGAGGGUGAUGACUGUAUCUAUUCUGUUCUCUUAUCUGCAGCCCUUAACACACUGUCUAGUCCACAGUAGACAUCUGGCUACAUUUUUUUUCAUGAAACAACUCUGAAUUGAAGGCAUAUAUGAAUAAGAAAUAGAAAAAUUUACAAGUGUAUUGUAAUGGAGCAUGGAUAUCAGUGGCAUUGCAGAAAGCAGAGUGAGUGAGGAGACAGGUGUGACAGGCAGCAGAUUGUGGGUCUGGAAUUUGGCUCCUCAUCUGGAGUUAUGCACCUGGGGUCUUUGUAGAUGUGGGCCGUUCAUGUGACUGAUUUGCUGUUUUGGGGAAGGCCUCAGUCUAUGGGUGAUUUUUUUUAGGUCUUUUCCACCGCUAAUAUUUUGUGAUUCUAUAGGUACGAUGUAAAGAGUUCAGCUGUACAAGCCCUGGAAACUGCAUAGGCUGUCAGUUAGGACUGAAAUGGACCAUUUGAUUGGUUGACACCAGGGUCUAAGAUCCAGUCUUCUCUGGGACAUCUCCCCAGACUGGGAUGGAAGAGGAAAUUAAGGUUAACUUUGUGUGGCUUCGUGCACUUUCUGGGAGUCCGGUUGUAGGAGACAGUUUGGAACAGUGGAAGGAAUGAGUGCUCUGGAGUUAGGAAUCUGGGGCUUGAUUCCUUUUGUACCUCCUAUGGAACUGCUAACUUGGAGGGGUUCGUCUUCCUGAAUCUGUUUCCUCACUGGUGAAAUGGGAGUAACACUGCCUAACUGGGGGUAUACUCUCUGCCAGAGGGGGAUGCGGACUCGUUUUCCCCUCUGACCUUAAAUGGAAGGACAAUGACUGAUGAGGAUUCUCUUCCCGGUUUGUUAAUCACGGUCAGAAUGUUUACGUAUGUCACUGAUGGGGACAUGAUGGUACCAGGGGAAUUUGAUGACUUCACAUAAGUAAACAACUGCAGGCAUAGAUUAGAUCCCUGAAUAAAGGUCAGGGACACAUCUGGAAUAUUAAAGUGAUAGGAGCACAGGUGAUAGGUAUGCAAAGUCAAAUCCGUAGAGUCUCUGAGCUUUCCCCAGUGUCAUUGUUUCUAAACAGAACUUUGAGAAGCACUAUGUUUUGAAAACAUGUAAUAGAAUGUUUUAAAAUCUGUGAUAAAAUAUUAGCUCUGUUUUUUUUCAUAUCUGUGGACUAUUGAACUUAUCGCUUAAUGUAAACAUCACAGCAACAAUUAGAUGCCUGCUGUGCAGUGCUUUGUCCUUGGAACUGUGAUGGUACCGCGGGUGGGGUGUGUGUGUGUGUGCGCAUGUGUGUGCGCACGCAUGUGUGUAAAGAUAUUUGUAAGCAAAGGAAUUGACUUUCUUGCAGUUGGGUUGACAGACAAAAGUGAGAUAGUGUUAUCAAAGUGCUAAUUUACAUAUUUCUCAGGCAAGGGAAGAAAGAAAAUCAAUUCUCUUAAGAAAUGGAACUAGAGAUGCAGCCCUGUGUAGGUGGAUGCCAUUGUAGUUGAUUUAAUAAUGUACAUUAGGAUGUUGUUGAAACAUUUUUAUAUUGCUAAUUGAAGUCUGUGAUUCAAAGAAUUAAUUAUAAAACUGAAGAUGGAAUGUGAAUUGGCAUCUAGUAUAUCUAGUUUAAAAACAUUCUGUUGAUGUAUCAUUUUUGAAAUCAUGGAUUCAUUGAGAGAGUGAAUUGGGAUAAACUGUUAAUAGGUUGAGUAAAUUCUGUGGCUCAGGAAAUUAUUUGCUUAAUGAAUUUUGUUGACAUGAAUAUUUUUUGCUGAGAUUCUAUCUGUGCUCUUCCUCUGUCCCCCUUCUUGUUCUCAAAAGGUUUUAGGGUAACCUAUAAUAACAGACAACUCAGCAAGAUGAGUAACUUAAAAAUAGGUGAAGAUAAACAAAAUAAAAGUAAGUGUAGAGCUAAGUCCAGGGCCUUAGAGCAGUUUCUUAACAGUGGCACCGACAACAUUUUGUAACAGAUAAUUCUUUGUUGACGGGGCUGCCCUGUGUGUUGUACAUUGCUUGGGAGCAUCCGUGGUCUCUGGCCACUAGAUAUGAGCAGUAUCCCCCGUCACUGCUGUUGUGACAACUGAAGAUGGUGUCAGACAUUGCCAGAUAUCCUCUGAGUGACGAAAUCACCGCCAGUUGUGCAGAUAGUGUCUUAGUUUGAGCUACUGUAGCAGCCUACCACAGACUGGGUGGCUUAUAAACAACAGAUGUUUUUUAUUCAUAGUUCUGGAGGCUGGAAUCCACGAUCAGGACACUGGAAAAUCCAGUAUCUGGUGAGGGCUUGCUUCCUCGCUCAGGGACAGCCAUCUUCCAGCUGCGUCCUCACGUGGAGGAUGGUGGAAGGCACAGGGAGCUCUCCGGGGUCUCUUUUAGGAGGGCACUAACUCCCUUCAUGAGGGCUCCACCCUCGUGAACUAAUCACCUCCCAAAGGCCCUAUCUCCAAAUACCAUCACUUUUGGGGUUAAGGUUCAACACAUGAAUUUGGGGGUGGGGGUACAAACACUCAGUUUAUAGCAGAGGGUAAGGUGACACCAGAGUGCGGUGGGUGGAGCAACCAGAUCCAUGAAGUCUUGAUGGAGACUGGACGCGCCACUCUUGCUGGUGAUGCACUGACUGUAGGCAUUUCCCCAUGAUUGCUCGUGGCUGCCCUGGAGAAACAGGAUUUGUUUAGUGGUGUUUGGGGUUCUCAGGACGAAAUAUAUUGUUACUCAGCAGAAGCACAUCUAUUUCUAAUGUGGACAACUGAUGGCAUUUUCUCCAGGUUUCUGUCUGCCUGAGAAUGAAGCUCCUGAUGGGCAGGGGUUUUUGUAUAUUUUGUUCAUUUAAUGUGCCCAGAGGAAAACCUGGCAGUUGCUUAAUAAAUAUUUUUAUAAAGAGAUGAGUCUUGUCAAGGAAGAUACUGUUUAAUAUAGGCCUUUCCUUAUAUGUAUACAGACAUAGUGCAAGUUUUCCGGGGCUAUUUCUUAGAGUAUCAUUAAAUGGAAGCAUGCAUUCUGGGUGGCAUAAUCUAAAAUGAAUGUCGGCAAAAUCAAUUAAGUGGGCCCCAGGAUAAUGUGGUGCAGGAUUGUAGCUUCCCAGUGUCUGACUCAAUCAAUAGUUAGGUUUUAGGGUGCUGCAGGGAGGGAAGUUGCAUGUUCUUUGGGUAGCGGUGAGCUUGAUAACUGUCAAUUAAGGCUGAGCAGGGAAGACUUGAGCUGAGCUAUGGUGAUAGUUAUCACCAAUAUUAAUAGUUACUGAGUGCUUGCAUGUGCUGAACGCUGUGUCGAGCCCCUUCUCUGCAUCAUCCCUCUGCAUCCCCACCUUCUCUGAGGUCUGCACUUCAGGGAGGAGUUCAGUGGCUUGCCCGAGGCACGGCCCUGGGAUUCUGUCCCUGACAAUUCACAUUCAGAGUGGACUCCUCACCUCUCUGCUGCUCUGUCUCACUCCCACUAAUACCUCCCAGCAAUGUCUGAUCAAGCCCCAGAGUUCAUACUCUUGAACUUGGCAGGAGAGUUACAGACUGAAAUAAUUUUAAAGCAGUUCAAACCACAUUCUCAUUU